rnacentral:rRNA from 1 species
GACGAACGCUGGCGGCGUGCUUAACACAUGCCAGUCGAACGGAAAGGCCCUGCUUGUAGGGUAUUCGAGUGGGGAAAGCGUGUGUAUAACGUGGGAGAUAUCCCCCCCAGAUCGGGGUAAGACUGCAAAAAUCUGUCUCAUAUAGCAGAUGACAUCUCCUGCUGUGUGGGGGGGGGAGAGAAUUUUCGGUGUGGGAUGAGCGCGCGGCUUAUCAGCUUGUUGGUGGGGUAAUGGUGUACCAAGGCGUCGACGGGUAGCCGGCCUGAGAGGGUGGUCGGCCACAUUGGGACUGAGAUACGGCCCAGACUCCUACGGGAGGCAGCAGUGGGGAAUAUUGCACAAUGGGCGGAAGCCUGAUGCAGCGACGCCGCGUGGGGGAUGACGGCCUUCGGGUUGUAAACCUCUUUCGACAGGGACGAAGCGUCGGUGACGGUACCUGUAUAAGAAGCACCGGCUAGCUACGUG